UUAGAACAAAAUAUGCUAAAGUCAUUAAAAUUCAAAGAAUUUGGCGGUUAAUAAAAUUUUUAGAGGAACAUGUAUUAUAAUUGAUAAACCACGAUAGUUUUAACCUUAAUUUUAUUUGUAUACCUCUAUAUAAAUGUGUUUUUAAGAAUAUUUUUAUUAAUUUAUAUUUUAAUUUUAGGUCAAGGUGCAGUUUUUUUAAGGUAAAUAUGUGUUACUAUAGUUUUUAUAUUAUGUUAAUUUUAGUAUUAUAAUUUUUAUUAAUAUAGGAUUUAAAAGUAAUUUAAUUUAAUUAAAUUUUAUGAAUAAU
rnacentral:rRNA from 1 species